GACGAACGCUGGCGGCGUGCUUAACACAUGCAAGUCGAACGGUAAGGCCCUUCGGGGUACACGAGUGGCGAACGGGUGAGUAACACGUGGGUGAUCUGCCCUGCACUUCGGGAUCCGCCUGGGAAACUGGGUCUAAUACCGGCUAGGACCACUGCCCGCAUGGGUGGUGGUGGAAAGCUUUUGCGGUGUGGGAUGGGCCCGCGGCCUAUCAGCUUGUUGGUGGGGUGAUGGCCUACCAAGGCGACGACGGGUAGCCGGCCUGAGAGGGUGACCGGCCACACUGGGACUGAGAUACGGCCCAGACUCCUACGGGAGGCAGCAGUGGGGAAUAUUGCACAAUGGGCGCAAGCCUGAUGCAGCGACGCCGCGUGAGGGAUGACGGCCUUCGGGUUGUAAACCUCUUUCAGCACCGACGAAGCGCAAGUGACGGUAGGUGCAGAAGAAGGACCGGCCAACUACGUGCCAGCCGCCGCAGUAA
rnacentral:rRNA from 1 species